UACGUAGGGUGCGAGCGUUGUCCGGAAUUAUUGGGCGUAAAGGGCUUGUAGGCGGUCUGUCACGUCGGGAGUGAAAACACGGGGCUUAACCCCGUGCCUGCUUCCGAUACGGGCAGACUAGAGGUAUGCAGGGGAGAACGAAUUCCUGGUGUAGCGGUGAAAUGCGUAGAUAUCUGGAGGAACACCGGUGGCGAAGGCGGCAUCCUGGACCAAUUCUGACGCUGAGGAGCGAAAGCCAGGGGAGCAAAGCGGGAUUAA
rnacentral:rRNA from 1 species